GACGAACGCUGGCGGCGUGCUUAACACAUGCAAGUCGAACGGAAAGGCCCUGCUUUUGUGGGGUGCUCGAGUGGCGAACGGGUGAGUAACACGUGAGUAACCUGCCCUUGACUUUGGGAUAACUUCAGGAAACUGGGGCUAAUACCGGAUAGGAGCUCCUGCUGCAUGGUGGGGGUUGGAAAGUUUCGGCGGUUGGGGAUGGACUCGCGGGUUAUCAGCUUGUUGGUGGGGUAGUUGCUUACCAAGGCUUUGACGGGUAGCCGGCAUGAGAGGGGGACCGGGCACAUUGGGACUGAGAUACGGCCCAGAGUCCUACGGGAGGCAGCAGUGGGGAAUAUUGCACAAUGGGCGGAAGCCUGAUGCAGCAACGCCGCGUGCGGGAUGACGGCCUUCGGGUUGUAAACCGCUUUCGCCUGUGACGAAGCGUGAGUGACGGUAAUGGGUAAAGAAGCACCGGCUAACUACGUG
rnacentral:rRNA from 1 species